UACGUAGGGUGCAAGCGUUGUCCGGAAUUAUUGGGCGUAAAGAGCUUGUAGGCGGUUUGUCGCGUCUGCUGUGAAAUUUCGGGGCUCAACCCCGAACUUGCAGUGGGUACGGGCAGACUAGAGUGUGGUAGGGGAGACUGGAAAUUCCUGGUGUAGCGGUGGAAAUGCGCAGAUAAUCAGGAGGAACACCGGUGGCGAAGGCGGAUCUCUGGGCCGAUACUGACGCUGAGGAGCGAAAGCGUGGGGAGCAAACAGG
rnacentral:rRNA from 1 species